UGCUCAGGUGGUUUGGUAAGUCAGGGGUGAAAUCCCGGAGCUCAACUCCGGAACUGCCUUUGAUACUAUCAGACUUGAGUAUGGAAGAGGCUGAUGGAAUUUCUGGUGUAGCAGUGAAAUGCGUAGAUAUCAGGAAGAACACCAGUGGCGAAGGCGGUCAGCUGGUCCAUUACUGACACUAAAGCACGAAAGCGUGGGUAGCAAACAGGAUUAGAUACCCUGGUAGUCCACGCCUUAAACUAUGAAUACUAGACGUUGGGGUUAAACUCAGUGUCGGAGCUAACGCAUUAAGUAUUCCACCUGGGGAGUACGAUCGCAAGGUUGAA
rnacentral:rRNA from 1 species